rnacentral:sRNA from 1 species
CUCACUGCUAAGCUAUCGCUGCUGCCAACCUAUCUAUUGCUGCAAGCUAUCCCUCGCUGCUAAGCUAUCGCUGCCAACCUAUCUAUCGCUGCCAACCUAUCUAUCGCUGCCAAUUUAUCUACCACUGCCAAUCUAUCUAUUGCUGCUAAUCUAUCGCUGCUGUCAAUCUAUCUAUCGCUGCUAAUCUAUCUAUCGCUGCUAAUCUAUCGCCGCUGCCAAUCUAUCUAUUGCUGCUAAUCUAUCGCUGCUGUCAAUCUAUCUAUCGCUGCUAAUCUAUCUAUCGCUGCUAAUCUAUCGCCGCUGCCAAUCUAUCCCUCACUGCUAAGCUAUCCCUCGCUGCUAAGCUAUCACAGCCAAUCUAUCGCUGCUAAUCUAUCGCUGCCAACCUAUCUACCGCGGCGAAUCUAUCUAUCGCUGCCAAUUUAUCUACCACUGCCAAUCUAUCUAUCGCUGCCAAUCUAUUGCUGCUAAUCUAUCGCUGCUAAUCUAUCGCUGCUGCCAAUCUAUCUUUUGCUGCUAAUCUAUCGCCGCUGCCAAUCUAUCCCUCGCUGCUAAGCUAUCCCUUGCUGCUAAGCUAUCCCUCACUGCUAAGCUAUCCCUCACUGCUAAGCUAUCCCUCACUACUAAGCUAUAUAUCACUGCUAAUCUAUCGCUGCUAAUCUAUCGCUGCUAAUCUAUCGCUGCUAAUCUAUCGCUGCCAACCUAUCUACCGCGGCGAAUCUAUCUAUCACUAUCAUUACUAGUUCAAAAUAGAACUAGAGCAUAAAUACACUAAACUUCUUUUGAUAGGUAAUGAUUUUUGGUAACACUCAUAGCAUUAUAUCAUCUAUAUAGGGUAAAUCAUGGUCCCAUUUGGUCCCAUUUUAACAAAAUGGGACCAAAUGGGACCAGAAUCAGUAAUUUAUAAGAAGAACAUGACCUGAGACUAGAUUUAUAAUAUAAACAGUGUAAAGUGACUAAUUUAAUAAACACUAUAUG